UUCCCAGAAUUCUCAGCCGGAGCUAGCUGUAGAUAGGCAGCCUAAUAAGUUUGGGACAUAGAGUUAUAAAUCUAUGGUUUGGGAUGAUAAAAUCGUAGUCUCAAUUUACUUGUCACAAUGUGCUUACGUAAUAAUGGUCGUGAGAAUUUUCUAGAGACGAUUGUGCUAGAGAUGAAAAGAACUAUAGUAAAACAGGAUUAUUAGGAAAAAUGUUUAAUUGUCAAGAUAAUGGUAAUUAUUCACCCUAUAAAUGUCUGGGUUCUGUCUGUUUCUGUACUGAUGAAAAUGGUUUGAUAAAAGGAUCAAAGAUGAUUAACAUAGGAGAGUUAUCUUCCCUUCAAUGUACACAAUAAAUCAGUUCAUAAUUACA